AAGACAUAAAGAGCCUGCACACAGAGCUGUGAUCUUGGAUUUUGAAAUAGCAAGGACCCUACAGAUGGUGUUCUGAAAGCAGACUGGUAGAUGCAAGGCUCCUGUGAGUUUCAGCAUGCUUCUGAUCACACAAAUGGUCUUGCAUGAUAAAGCCACUGCAUCACUGUUUUCAGCAUAUGGUACCUGACCUCAGCAGUUUGUGGCUGUCAACCUGUUAAGAAGUUACUGCAUUUUACAUCAGUAGCUUUCACUUUGUUAUGUCAAAAAUGUGUCUGCACAAUAAUUGCAGUUUGAGUUGUUAUGAUACUGGAAAAAUUAAUAUAGUAUGAGUUAUUGUAGUUAAAUGUUUUGAAUGCAUAUAAACUAUUCUGGUGUUGAUGCCUUUAGCAACUGUAUCUUAGUUUUAGCCUCUGGUAACUGUGAUGCAGAGCUGUAAUUCAGGGCCAUCUUCCUUCCCCGACUUCUGCCUUGUUUGCUGAUUUAUCCAAAUGUGUUAACUCACGAUGUUUCUCAGUCAUGUUAGUGAAUUAACAAGGUCUGGCUUCUUGUAACACUGUUCUAAAAUGCUGCAUUCUUUUCCAAGUUUGGAGAUAAAGCAUUCCCAAAUGUAAGCCAUGAAAUUCAAAUCUUGCUUGAUAAAGCUGGUUUUGUUUGCUUUGGGGGGGGGGGGGAAUAAAAAGAAAAA